AUGGGUCUUUUCCUCAGAGAUGGGGCUUUUCCUCAGGGUUGUGGCUGUAGGGGAAGGAGCUUUUCCCAAAAAGUUUGGGCCUUUUCCUCAGGGUUGGGGCCGGACGGGAAGGGGUUUUUUCUCAUGGUUGGGGCCAGAGGGGAAGGGGCUUUUCCUCCGGUUUGGGGACGGAUUGGCAGGGGCUUUUCCUCAGGCUUCGGGCCUGAGGGGAAGGGGCUUCUCCUCAGGGUUGGGGUCAGAAGGGAAGGGGCUUUUCCUCAGGGUUGGGGCCGGAGGAGAAGGGUCUUUUCCUCAGAGCUGGGGCUUUUCCUCAGGGUUGAGGCCGUAGGGGAAGGGCUUUUCCUCAGGGUUGGGGCCAGAGGGGAAGGGUGUUUUCCUCAGGUUUGGGUCCACAGGGGAAUAGGAUUUUUCCUGAGCGUUGUGGCUUUUCCUCAGGGUUGGGGCCGGAGGGGAAGGGGCUUUUCUUCCAGGUUGGGGCUGGAAGGGAAUAGGAUUUUGCCUCAGGAUUGGGACUUUUCCUCAUGGUUGGGGCUGGAGGGGGAGGAGCUUUUCCUCAGGGUUGGACUUUUCCACAGUGUUUGGGUCGGAGGAGAAGGGGCUUUUCCUCAGGGUUUGAGUCAGAGGGGAAGGGGCUUUUCCUCAGGGUUUGAGUCAGAGGGGAAGGGGCUUUUUCUGAAGGGUUGUAGCUGGAGGGGAUGGGUAAUCCUUUAUAUUUGGGGCCUGAGGGGAAGGAGCUUUUCCACAUACUUGGGGCUGGAGUGGAAGGGCUUUUCCUCCAACUGGCGGUCACCGGGGUGGCUCCUCGGGGGCGCCCUGGAGCCCGCCGGGGGUCACCGGGGCGGGUCCUCUGGGGCGCCUGGUGGCCCCGCCAGGGGUCAGCGAGGUGGGUCCUCCGGGGUGCCCGGGGCCCCGUCGGGGGUCGCCGGGGUGGGUCCUCUGGGGCGCCCGGGGGGCUGCCGUGGCUUGCCGGGGUGGGUCCUGCGAGGCGCCCGGGAGCUCGCUGAGGGUCGCUGGGGUUGGUCCUCCGGGGCUCCCAUGGGCCCGCCAGAGUUCGCCGGGAUAGGCCCUCUGGGGCUCCCGGGGGCCCGCCGGGGGUCACGGGGGGCGGUCCUGCGGGGCGAACGGGGGCCUGCCGGGGGUAGCCGGGAUAGGCCCUCCGGGGCGCCCGGGGGCCUGCUGGGGGUCACCGGGCUGGGUCCUGUGGGGCGCCCAGGAGCUCGCUGA
ensembl:lncRNA